GUUGUUCGGAAUCCCUGGGCUUAAAGGGCGCGUAGGCGGGCUGUCAAGUCUGGGGUGAAAUCCCGCGGCUCAACCGUGGAACUGCCUCAGAUACUGACGGCCUCGAGGGAGGUAGGGGCAUGCGGAACUGUAGGUGGAGCGGUGAAAUGCGUUGAUAUCUACAGGAACUCCGGUGGCGAAAGCGGCGUGCUGGACCUCUUCUGACGCUGAGGCGCGAAAGCUAGGGGAGCAAACGGG
rnacentral:rRNA from 1 species